UUAGAAGGUUUAAGAUUACUAGUAACGUUGAAAUACUUCAAUGUCUGAAUCCACUUCUCUUGAUUCUUCAGAAGGUGAACUGCAAUUGUGUCUGGCCAAAGCUCAUGCGUACACCUUGUGGGUGGCUCUGGAAAAUUGUACAUUGACCACUUAGCAUUAUAUCUAUUCUUUGCUUUGUGCCCUUCUCUGAUCCAGUCUCCAAAGACUUUGUCCUCUGGCCCUUCCGUAUGGUUCUUUGGAACUUCAGAAUCCCUAAUCCACUCCACAAUGUCCCAUGAAACCAUAUACCCCAUCCCAGACAUAUAAUGCACAAAAGGGUCCAUGCUCGGGCAUGGAAUAACAUAACCAUAGUACAAAUCUUCUCUAGGCAAUGGCUUUAGUGACUCCACUAAGUUUUCUAACCUAAAAUAAGUAUCAUCAUCAGCUUUCAUCACAUAAUGGUAUGGAGGGUAUGGCCUAUCUGUGUCGUUUAAUAUUUCUGGCAAGCUUGAAAAAUAAGUAUAGGUCUUACCCUUGUUCAUGUUCUCUUUGCAAUUGAGGAUGAUAAUAUCAUCGUAACGCAUUAUCUCUAGUGCAACAAGUACUUUUUGAUCUUCCUUUGUUAGAUUGCAAAACACAAACUUUACGUCAACUUGUGCACCCAUCGGAGAUUGCGUCCCGUAUAUUAAACGAAG
rnacentral:misc_RNA from 1 species